rnacentral:lncRNA from 1 species
ACCCAUACACAAAGGUUCUGUUGCCAGAAUAUAACAGGUAACCCUGCUUGUUAGCAGGAAGCCGGAGAAGAGGGCUGGCUGCAGGCUGGCCGUGGAGAGGCCUUUGGAUGCUUUUUUGGUUCACGGGGGAAAUGACUUUCCAAGCCUCAGUUUGCCUGCUAUUGAGAAUUGGUUUGCUCCCUUUUUCACGACAUCUGGUUACUAUGCCAUUUUACCCAAGACAGUAAACCUAACAGUAACAUGGUGCCUGGCCUGGGGGCUUAUUGUUUCUAUGGAGAGUCAGUUUCUCACCUCAAGGGUUGAUAUAUCAGAUAUCCUGCAUCUCAGAUAUGUACAUUAUGAUUCGCAACAGUAGCAACAUUACAGUUAUGAAAUAGCAAUGAAAUAAUUUAAUGUUAGGGGGUUACCAAGACAUGAGGACUGUAUCAAAGGGUCUCAGCGUUAGGAAGACUGAGCUCCAAUGUCUUAGAGGGUCCCAGGUGACCUCCAGGUUUCCCCUGGAGGGACCACUGAAGGUGGCCUUUUUGGAACCAGACCCUUGAAUGCAGUCUAGGCCUAUGACUGAGUGUCCCCCCACUGUCCUCAGAGCCAGUGUGCAUAGGCCUUCCCACUUGAUCAGGGGAAAUUCGGAGAGUUUUACAAACAAGAAUACAUCUGCUGAACUGGCUCACUCCCUAUUUGGAAAGACUGCAGCAAUUCCUUGGCAGAAAGGAUCCUGGCAACCUGCCUCAAACAGAGGCCAAUAGAUGGUCUGGGCCCAUGCAGGGAGCCUGGCAUCUUUUGGAUAAAGUAAUACACAGGGCAUGACUGUUUCCAUUUCCAAACAGCUUAACCCUGAGUGAUGGAGACAGUUGUGUCCUGUGAACCUUCUAUUGCAAAACCCUCAUGUGAUGCCGCCUGCUGUUUAUAGCCUUCCAUUGUGUGGAGCUCUGGUCCGUGACAGGGCUGCAGUGUCCUUCUCAGGAGCA